rnacentral:rRNA from 1 species
CGUGGGUAACCUGCCCAAGAGAUCGGGAUAACACCUGGAAACAGAUGCUAAUACCGGAUAAUAACAGAUGAUGCCUAUCAACUGUUUAAAAGAUGGUUCUGCUAUCACUCUUGGAUGGACCUGCGGUGCAUUAGCUAGUUGGUAGGGUAACGGCCUACCAAGGCGAUGAUGCAUAGCCGAGUUGGGAGACUGAUCGGCCACAUUGGGACUGAGACACGGCCCAAACUCCUACGGGAGGCAGCAGGG